rnacentral:rRNA from 1 species
GACGAACGCUGGCGGCGUGCUUAACACAUGCAAGUCGAACGGAAAGGCCCUGCUUUUGUGGGGUGCUCGAGUGGCGAACGGGUGAGUAACACGUGAGUAACCUGCCCUUGACUUUGGGAUAACUUCAGGAAACUGGGGCUAAUACCGGAUAGGAGCUCCUGCUGCAUGGUGGGGGUUGGAAAGUUUCGGCGGUUGGGGAUGGACUCGCGGCUUAUCAGCUUGUUGGUGGGGUAGUGGCUUACCAAGGCUUUGACGGGUAGCCGGCCUGAGAGGGUGACCGGCCAGGUUGGGACUGAGGUACGGCCCAGACUCCUACGGGAGGCAGCAGUGGGGAAUAUUGCACAGUGGUCGGAAGCCUGAUGCAGCAACGCCGCGUGCGGGAUGACGGCCUUCGGGUUGUAAACCGCUUUCGCCGGUGACGAAGCGUGAGUGACGGUAAUGGGUAAAGAAGCACCGGCUAACUACGUG